CACACAGGAAUACGCUACUACCCGUCGC
rnacentral:sRNA from 1 species